rnacentral:snRNA from 1 species
AAAUGUGAGCGUGACAUCUGUCACCCCAUUUAUUGCCAGUGUUGAUUUGGCUGAUCUGGAUCGCUAGGCAGUGGUCCCCUUCUUCCCUCAUAGCUCCAUAAGCAUCCUUCCUGAAGUUUCCUGCUGAGUCAAAGAGGAUGACCUUCCCCAGUUGAGGAAGAACGGUUUUUCCAUCAAGGGUAGACUGCACUCCCCUGCUCCAGCCUUCAACCAAACUCUCAUUCUGUUACACUAACGGCAGGCACCAUGGUCUCUCAGCAGAUCCACUGCUCCUGUAAAGCUAGU